rnacentral:tRNA from 1 species
UACAUUUUGGUGUAUGAUGCACAUGAAUUUUUGAUAUUUUAGGAAAUAGUUUAAUUCUAUUAGGUGUAU